ensembl:lncRNA
AGGUGCCACUGUCCCAGGGUUCAUUUUUUUUUUAUGCAAUUGUUUUCAUAGCAACUGUUAUGGGAUCUUCCAUAGUUUAAUGAUCUAAGGUGGGAAGUAUUUACCACUCUCCUGAACUGUGCUAUAGUCUCUGAGAGACCACAAGUACUUUGUCUCCCUUAGAACUAAAUCUGCUUACUCCUGUGGCAAAUGGUUGUGUGUUAGUUCUUCUCCUUGCCUUGGAACUGCAACCCAUGGUUGUUACCCAGAUCUGUGUAUGGGCAAUGCAACAGAGUCCUGCAACCUCUCUAAUCUCCUUGGAUGACUUAUCUGACCCCUUUACAAUGUAAGGGCUGAAAGCUCCAAAUGUUGCUGCUGAUGAUUCAUUUGCCCCCAAGGCUGGUAACUGGCUUAUAGAGGGAAGACCUGCCCUGGUGCAUCCUGCAGUGAACUAUACUCCACUCUCAUAUCAGAUUUAGUGGCCUUUUCUCAUCCAUGUUGGAAAUUCAAAUUGGGCUUCAAUCUCUUACAAUCCAUGUGACCUUUGGCAGGGAUUGCCCAUCUCCCCACCUAGGAAUUUGCCCAGUCACUAAUAUAUGCCCAAUCUAUCUUCAGUGGAAUGUGCCAACCACUUUCUUUUUGUGAAAAAAAGGAAGAAAAGGGAAAAGAAGAGGAAGAACAGGAAGGAGGAGGAGAAAAGCAAGAACAAGAAGGAAGAGUAAUAGUUUUCGUUUGCACUCAGACUCAAUAG